UACGUAGGGUGCGAGCGUUAAUCGGAAUUACUGGGCGUAAAGCGUGCGCAGGCGGUUUUGUAAGCCAGAUGUGAAAUCCCCGGGCUUAACCUGGGAAUGGCAUUUGGGACUGCAAGGCUGGAGUGUGGCAGAGGAGACUGGAAUUCCUGGUGUAGCAGUGAAAUGCGCAGAUAUCGGGGAAGAACACCCGUGGCGAAGGCGGUUCUCUGGGACGGUACUGACGCUGAGACGCGAAAGCGUGGGGAGCGAACAGG
rnacentral:rRNA from 1 species